AUUUUAUUAUGCUGUUUAAAAAUGGGAAGUGAUUUACCGUACAACUUAAAUGUUUUGACUAUCAUUACAGCAACUCUGUAAGUAAUUAAUUCUGGCACCAUACUUUACAAACAACUUUGUCAAAUUGGAGCUCGUCCAGAGGAGAACAAACAAUCCUGUGAAGGGUCUGGAAACUACAGCUUGUAAGGAAUGAUGGAAAGAGAUGAAGGAAUCAUUGUAACAUAACAAUGGUCAGGAGGUCCCCUGCUCCCAUGCUCAGAAUUGACCUACAGUCCUCAACCCAAUAAUCUCAAGCCCAGAUGAUUACCACUUACAUGGAAGUUUGCACAUCAGAAGAAACAUGUGAAGCGAAUGCCAAGGUACCACAGUGGCGAUCAAUGCACUCACAAACAGAUGGAUUCACCUCUGAGAUGCCAGGAAUCCAGAGGCAACAGGAAGGAGUGCAAAAACGAAGAAGAAGAAUAAAAGAAACCAGCAAGCCCACCUUUCCAUUGCAGAGUUUUAGCCAGAACUGAGAUGGGAUGAAUAAAAUGAGAAAAGCUUGCA
rnacentral:lncRNA from 13 species